GAGAAAUGUUCACCUCCAUUGGUGCUCCUGCAGCAAUAUACUUCUCUAUUAUGUGGCGUGCCAUGUAAAUUCUCCUAACUGAAUCCUGAAUAGGAAUUUUAUCAAAAUGUUGCACUUCAUCAUAGAAGUGCACACUCUCUCCAGCCAGACAACUACGAUGUGAACAAAGUAAAAGAAAAAAAGGUCAUUCUAUUACUGUGCAAUCAAUUUCAGACCUGUCUGUUAGAGUUCCUCUCUAGAAAAGAUGGUCUGCUU
rnacentral:misc_RNA from 1 species